rnacentral:rRNA from 1 species
AGCAGCCGCGGUAAUUCCAGCUCCAAUAGCGUAUAUUAAAGUUGUUGCAGUUAAAAAGCUCGUAGUUGAACUUCGGGGUCUACCCAUUGGUCAGGCUUAAUUGUCUGCACUGGUGAGAUGGAUCUCUACCUUCUGAGGAACUUUCAUGCCAUUUAUUUGGUGUGGUUGGAAAUCAGGACUGUUACUUUGAAAAAAUUAGAGUGUUUAAAGCAGACUAUCGUCUGAAUACAUUAGCAUGGAAUAAUGAAAUAGGACGGACUGAUUCUAUUUCGUUGGUUUCUAGGAUCACCGUAAUGAUUAAUAGGGAUAGUUGGGGGCAUUAGUAUUCAAUUGUCAGAGGUGAAAUUCUUGGAUUUAUUGAAGACUAACUACUGCGAAAGCAUUUGCCAAGGAUGUUUUCAUUAAUCAAGAACGAAAGUUAGGGGAUCGAAGACGAUCAGAUACCGUCGUAGUCUUAACCAUAAACUAUGCCGACUAGGGAUCGGACGAAGUUAAUUUUAUAAUUGACGCGUUC